GUGUUUAAAUUUGGUCACCCAAUUAUUAUUUAGAUAUCAAUAUCAAGGACAUUUAAAUCAUCUAAAUGCAUAUACGUAAACAAAGUCCAAACAACAAUACAUUCUUUAGGGACCUUCUUCAACUAAAAAUAGAGUCCAAAACACUCCAACUGAUGUUUAAACGAGUAGAGAAUCAUUUAGGGAUGAAAAUGAAAAAUUACAAAAAGGUGAUAGAAAUUGCAAAAUAAGACCACACGGCCAUGUGGGAGGGUCUGGAUUGUGUGAUAGGCCUACACGGCUGUGUGAAGGAGAGACAUGCCCGUGUGACUCGGUUAGAUGACCAUGUGGGUAGAUUGUGUAACUCAUUGUGCCUGUGUGACAAAAUUAACAUAAUUUUAGAAGCAAAGAAGAGACGGUCAUGUGACUGAAUGACACGCCCAUGUGACAGUGAUACAUGAUUGUGUGAUUGAGACACACGACCAUAUGCGAUCGACAAAAUCCCCAAAUAGAGGUUACACAACAGUGUGGCCAGCCCGUGUGACCUACCCCAGGUCGUUUGACAAGAAAAUUUACCUAAUUUCUAAUGUGGCACACGGCUGUGUAGUUCGUAAACCACCCCAAAAUUGGAUGAAUUUCGUGAAACACACCUAAAAGGUGAUUCUCACGCAAUAACAAUCAAUUGACGCACUUCAAUUCAACGAAUCUGAAAAACUCAAUUUUUACAACAAAAUAAACCUAUAAGAACUUCAAUUUAAACCGGAAUAAAGAAAUCAAAAACCAAUAUAAUACCCAACAAAACAACACUUACCCGAUUCGAUGCUUAACUAAUUGGAAAUUCAGAGAACAACCAAACCACAUUAUGCGAAAAUUAACAAUAACGUGGACCUUAAAAGGAAAAAAAUAAAUUGAAAAUUAAAAGAGGAAGAAAGAAAACAUCAAAGUCUGAAACCUUGGAAGAAAAGAAGAGAAACUGAUAUGGGAGGGAGGAAGAGAAAAUGAGCAAAAAAAUUUGGAAUUUCUUAACUUCUCUAAUUUUAAAAUUAAGAUAAAAUAAUUUAAUUAAUCUUUAACCAACCAAUUAGUUUUAUUAUUUUUUAAGGAAAUUGAAACAAAAAACAAACAAAAAUAAAAUAAAACCAUUCUCCCUUAGGGCCUACAAGGACUCAAACCAAAGAGCAAAGGAAAAUUGACGCUUAACCACUAAACCACUAAACUUAAUCUACUCUUAAAACGGAAAGAAAAACAUAAGAGUACUAACUUACUUACGAACCUAAACCCUUCUAACCCCAAUUUUGGGAUGUUACACAAAGUGACGAGCUUUGAUCAUAUUAUUCUUGAAUUGGAUUGUUCGGAGAUGGUUCACAUGCUUACCUCGAAUCAUGUUGACACCUUUGAAUUUGGUAUGUUAGUUUAUGAUUGUUGCUAUUUACUAUUGUUGUUUUAACAUCUUUCCUUCCUUUGGAUUCAAAGAAGUACUAAAAAGGCUGCUCAUUAUUUUGUCCGAGUGGUUUUAUCUCAAGUAUCUCCUCGCACUUAUGAGGCUAUUUCUCUUAGCUUGUUGUCGUUUCCCUCCAGAUAUUUCUAUGAUCUCUUGCGAGGUUAUACAAUAGAAAAUUAGUGUAUGGGUGAGCUUCUUAGGUCGAGAUCAGUUUUAUUGUCCUCCUCUUGUUUCUUUUCUUGUACGUAUUUUCCCGUUGCAAAUGCCCAAAUUAGACCGGGCCCAAUGAACUAACACCAGACCCAAACAAAAUAGACUCAACCCCAACAGCCCAAAAAAAAACUAGCCCACCUAGCCCAAAAACUAAAGCAAAAUAGAAACCCUAGCUAGCAUUAGGCGUCGUUCCCCUCUCUGUCGCCACCUGCUUUCCCACGUGCCUUGGCAGCACGUCCACCGCCCGAGGUGGCUCCCUUCUCACCAAAAUGGUCAGACCCCCGUCCCAUCGCCCGUACCACCUGCAAAAUGAAAAGAAACACGCAACAGACAACACAGAGCAGUGAUAGCAACUUGAAAUCGGAUAUAUAAGGUCGUAACAAAAGUUUGUAAAAAGGGGGGGAAAUCGAUUGUAUUUCAAGAGGGAUUUUCAAUAUUCAAAACAACUACAAUAUAUGAAAAUAAAGAUAGCAAAAAGAUUUAUAAAAAGGUAGAUCUUCGUGCUUUACAUACCAAAUAUAGUAUCUAUACAUAGAUAGUCGUAUAGAAACAUAAUAUUUUACCUUUUUUGGGCGAUCGGAAAGUUGGAAACUGAAUGGUUUUCCUGAUUUUUCUCAACGAUUGCGGGUCUUUUUGUUGCUUGGGGUUUAGAUUUGGAGUGAGGGGAGUGAAAGAGGCGAAAAGGGCUUCGUUUUGCACAUCCGACCGCCGCGCACGAUGGUCGUCUGCGACGAAUGGGCCGCGAUCCGAUGGCCAAAAAUCGCCUAGGCCGGAGAAGCCUCUCCCUCUCUCCCUCUUUUUUUCUAAAUGCACUGAUGAAAUGAGAAUGAGAAAAAAAAUUGAUUUUAUACAUAUAUGGAACGAAAAAAUUUGAUUUUAUACAUAUAUGGAAUGACGCCGUUCUGAGUUAAGUUCAAUAACUCAAAAAUGACGCCGUUUUAUGCUACGCCCGUGUGACCCGACCCAAACCAGCAAGAUCAGCGCGUUUUAAUCUAAUGGGAUAUUUCCCAUUUUGAUCCAUCCGUUUAUUUGAGCUUUUCGAUUAAAUCCUUUUCUUUCUUUUGUUUUGUUUUUAGUUUGACCACAAGAUUUUGCUUGUUUUUCGAUCGAGUCCCCCGACCCAUUGGUUCGCUGCGAGCGGACACGUGUCCAGAUAUUGGGCUUUUUGCUCGUUUAAUCCUCAGAUUUCUCGCGCUUUUUAUUUUAGUCCUAACUUGUGCGUUUUAUCAUAGUUUUACACGUGUAAUUUCAUUUUUAUUUCAAUUCAGGCCCAAAAAUGUUUGAUUUCAAUUCAUUUUGUAAGUUUAUUG
rnacentral:lncRNA from 1 species